CUGAACUCAUUGUCAUGUUUAUGAAACCAGUGUGAGUUGGAGACGACUUUUCUUUUGUGACAUGGUGCAUUAUCAUGCUGGAAGUAGCCAUUAGAAGAUAAGAUUAAAAGAUUAGAAGGUAAAGUGUGGUCAUGAAGGGAUGAACAAGGUCAGGAACAAUACACAAAUAGGCCAUGGCAUUCAAGCCGUGAUUGAUUGGUACUGUAUUAACGGGCCAAAAGUGUGCCAAGAAAACAUUCCCCACACCAUUACACCACCUCCACCAGCCCGGACUGUUCACACAAACAAGGUUGGGUCCAUGGAUUCAUGCAGUUGUUGCCAAAUUCUGACCCUACCAUAUGUGUGCCUAUGAAAUCCAGAUUAAUCAGACCAGGCUACGCUUUCCAAGUCUUCAACUGUCCAGUUUGGGUGAGCCUGUGCCCACUGCAGCCUCAGCUUUCCACUGUGUGCUGUUGUAGCUCAUUUGCCUCAAGAACUGCCGCUUACUGGAUGUUCUUCUGUUCUCCACUUUACAGCGUGUAGUGUGUGAAAAUCCCAAGAGAUCUUCAGUGAUAGAAAUGCUUAAACCAGCCUGUCUACAUAUAUAUAUAUAUAUAGGCGAGCAGGAAAAAUCAUCAGUGACACCUCCCACCCUGCUAAUUACCUUUUCCAAAAACUACCAUCAGGAAAGCGCUUCCGUGAUGAUAAAAACUGUACACCAUCGAAACAGCUUCUUUCCAGUGGAACUUUGUUAUUCACCAGACUGGCUGGGCAGCAUUCAGUAUUCACUACAAUGCCGUCCUGCCAGUAACUAGCAAUCUUCCACUAAAUGUUCAUAUCGUUGCUGUUAUUUAUUAUAUAUACCACAGUUGUUCCACUCUGUUUAAUGCACCCUGAACUGCAUCCAGCUGCUAUUUCUACCUCCACUGUAAUGUAAAUUACAACGGAGAAUACCAUUUCCGCUUAAGGUUUGUCUGUCUGUCUGUCUGUCUGUCUGUCUACUGGUCUCUCUCUCUAACUCUUGUAUGUUUGUAUGCGUAUUUGUGUGUGUGUGUGUAUCUACCUAACUAAUACAUUGCGAGCCAUAGCCAUAAAAAUAAAGCUAAUAAUAAUAGUAAUAAAUCAUACUCUUGACUAAAUAUUCGUAUCUUUUUGGCUUCUGCGCCAUGCUCUUAUGAACACCACAGCGUGUUCCUGCCGGGAAACUCCACUCCUCCAGUACUCUGCUCUUAUCCUCUGUUUGCAAAUGAUCGGUACAUCAAUUAUACAAGUAGCUUUUAGCCAGAAUGAUGAAUACAUAUGCUGACGUGAUUGAAACCUUUAAUUUCAUUCCUGGCCAGCAACAGUAGCCGCAGUCCAACACAAACACAAUGAAGCACUUGGUCCCAGUAGCCGUGGUUAAUAACUCAUUCACAUCAUGUCACAGGUACAUUGAUCACAAGAUGGCAACUUUGAGCUGUUUGUCUCCUUGGACUGAAAAAUUUGUCGUUUCUAUGGCAACACAGACGACACUAAUGGGGAGGAUGUCUAAAACAUAGCAGCUAGCUACAGUAUGUUGGAAAGCUGGACUACACUAUACUCGAAAUUAAUAGUCGAAAAAAGAUAAGGACGAUAACGCCUGAGAGAUAUGGAGGACUUAAUUCAAUUUGGAGCAUUCUGAAGAUUUUAAUAUUCCACCUGGUAAUUAUGUAAGGAUUGAACUACUUCGGGGCGCACGGUUAGCAUGUUCGCCUCACACCUCCAGGGUCGGGGGUUUGAUUCCCACCGUGGCCCUGUGUGUGUGGAGUUUGCAUGUUCUCCCCGUGCUGCGGGGGUUUCCUCUGGGUACUCUGGUUUCCUCCCCCAGUCCAAAGACAUGCAUGGUAGGCUGAUUGGCGUGUCCAAAGUGUCCGUAGUGUAUGAAUGUGUGUGUGAUUGUGCUCUGUGAUGGAUGCUCCCUGGGAUAGGCUCCAGGUUUCUGUGUGACCCUGAAAAGGAGUAAGCGGUAUGAUGGAUGGAUGGAUGAAACGCUUCAGUGUGAUACCACAAUUUUCAACUUCAUACUUUUUUUUUAUCCAUUUAUAGUUACAUUUAAUGUUGUGGAACAUCCAUGAAACGAGCUAGCUCCUUUUAUCACUUGCGUUAUAGCAGCUGAAACUGGAGACUCCUUCCCAUUCCCAUGUUCCUUCUCGCUCUGGCUUCUCUGAAUAAGGAGGUCAGGAUGAGAUGACCUCCGAGCUGAGAUGGUCACUGAAUCGUCUGGAAACACUUUGUUUAAAAGGGCACUUAAAACCCUCUUCCUGAAGGGUGGAGGGUUUGAAAGGAAACACUCUUUAAAAGGCAGCCUGUGAUACAGCAUACCUCGACGAGUUCCCAAUCAUAUUAUAGGAAAUGAUGCUGCGCUACAAACUCCUACAAACUCCUAAAUGUAUGUGUAUUGACAAAGCCGUUGACGCUAAGUGAAAGAGCGUCAUGGUCAUGAAGCAGGAAGCCAGCGGACACCGGGAGCUCUUUAAAAGUCUCAUACAUGCACGAGGAAAUUAGCAGUGCGUACAGUGGCUUGUAUACGUAUUAUACUCAUAUUAUAAUGAAGGAUCUAUACAAGCAGUCCAUAAUAUUGAAAUAGGAUUGCAGAAAUAUUCACCUCCGUUGCUGUCAAGCCCCUAAAUGAGUUCCAGUGCAACCAGUUGCCAUAAUUAGCUGUGUGCAAUUAAAGUGUCACUUGAUUUCACCUGUUCCUGAAAGAACUUAUCAGAGAACAUACCUAAACAAACAGCAUGUUGAAGACUACAGUACGGUGGCCCGUACGUGAAAAACAAACCAAAAUUGCAACAGCAACAGAAAACACAAUUUCUUUUAGUUAUUUAUGCUAAAGUUUGGUAUUAAUAUUGAGUUUAAGUGAACACCUGCCUUUUUUCACGUGUCCUGAAUUUGACCUUUCUGUGCUUGAAGUUCUAAGUUAACCAUCUAUGUGGCUGACGAGUGAUGGGAUCACAACAUGUCUUCAUGAUACAUUGGACCCUGUUAACUUUGUACCAGUUGUGUGUGAAUGGAAUACCCGAGACAAGUGGGUCGCCCCUAUAUUUUCUCCCUAAUUUAGUCUUGACCAGGUCCCACCCACCAUCCAGCUCUCCCUUAUCAUAUGAUAGCUACCAACCGGGGAGGGUGAACACGUGAACACAUGCUUCUUCUAAAAAGCUGCGAAGCCAGCCAGCGAUAUCCGCCGUCUUCCGCAUACAUGGCUCACACAUGAUUGGCUAGUGUCGCUGUGAUUGACAGGAUGGUGAGAGUUUGCCCGAUUGAUCGUCAACGACAUGUAAAUCAUUUGUUGCCAUGCCACUGCCAGUACUGGUGCUUGGUUCCAGAACAUCAACAUUGUCAAGAAAUGAAAUGUGGAAAAAUUAUAACUGUCUCUCUCUCUCUCUAUCUCUCACUCUCUCUGUAGCUCUCUCUCUCUUCCUCUUUCUGUUUUUUUUCUUUUUGACUAUUCGCUUUCUGUCU